CUGGAGGUGGGGUGGAUGGUCUAGGAGUGAGAAGGGGAGGGGGCUAGCCCCACCUCACUGGAGUAGAAAGCAGGCGGGAGAAAAAAAAAGGGAGGAAGGAAGAAAAUCACAGCCAUACAGGCUACGCUUCCCCCAGCUGAGCUGUAUCUGCAGUCGACCAGUGGAAAAAAAACACAAUAUGGAGACGCGCUCCUCCCGCAAAACUGCCAACCCCAUCUGUCAGCCAUUAGUUAAUCAGGGCUGGUGACCGAACAAACGAAGAGCUGGCAAAGCCCCUGGGAUUGAGGACAGCUUCAUCUCUGAGAGCACGAUGAGGGCAAGGACUCUGGGACCUUUGCUCUGAAGAUCCACAGCUGGGAAACUUUACAGAAAUGGCAACUGGAAAUACCCAAGUCAACCCCACCCACUCCACAACUCACAGCAGAGCUUUAACCUUUGUCUGUCUUGGAACGUGCCGGACUGGGAAAUGUUGGCAGCAUUUUGGAAAGAGAGUAAAGCUCUUCAAAGGCACUCAGAGCAAGAGUCAACAUGCAAGUGCAGACCGCAGGAAGGACAUUUGGAGGUGUGCCCAGGGCUGAAUGUUGUCUAAGCUGUUACGAAGAGUAAUAUUGAUAAAAUAUGGAAUGAUAAAAUGUCAACCAUGACACACCAGUUUGCAUACAGCAUGAUACGUGGGAGCAGAAUGAAUGUUUCAAAGGUCCAAGCAACACUUGCUAUCAUCAUGCAGGUGGGAGCGACACCUUGGGAAAGAGGAAUGUUGAGUCAGAGAUCUGUUCUGCAAUGGGAAACCAGAGAGAUGACACAGAGUAACAUUCUAAUCCAGUUCACAUCAUGCUAUUACUAGGAAUCUGAAGUUGAGUACAAUACAAGGAUGAAGUUGUGAUGUGUAAAGUUGUUUUCUUGAUUAUGAAUGCAGAUGCUUGCAUGUAAAAAUUACUCCCUUUUUCUGUCUCUGAAGUAUUUGACAGACUAUUAACCACAAUUGCAGCAAACUUCAGUCUUGCUGACACUAAACAGCCCAUUCUGGACUUGUCUGUAAGUACAAAUCUGCCGGCAACAACGAGUCCAAUAAACAGCUGCUUGACCGAGCAUGGAGACUUUUAUCAACACAUUUUCCUUUUAAAGUCAACAUCCCUAAGAAAAGACCCUGUGAUGCACGAUAACAAGAAAAAACACCACAGAGAUCAGUGAUUUGAUCAAUUAUUUCUAACGUCACUGAAAGAAUCGGAAAUGCUCAGUUAAACACCAUGUGUUGUCAUGGACUUGAACAAUCAAUCUAUCACAGUCUUUCCCAUUAUCUACUGCCACAUUCAUUUCACUCCCUAGUAUGAUGGUGUUGAAAGGUUCAAAGAGGACUUGGGCCCAUCAAGACUAAGUAUGUAGUCUUAUAUACAAUAUACUGCUGAAAGUCUUGAGAUUACACACAAAACCUGUAAUGAAUUCCCAUUUAUUAUACAUAGGUUUUAACAUGGAGUUGGCCCAUUCUUUAUAGCUAUAAUAGCUUCAACUCUUCUAAAAAGGCUUCUCACAAGGUUUAGGAGUGUGUUUAUUGAAAUGUUUGAUUCCUCCUCCAGGAUAGUAUUUUUGAGGUCAGACACUGAUGUUGGAUGAGAGGGUCUGGCUUGCAGUCUCUGCUUUAAUUCUUCCCUAAGGUGUUUUGUCGGCUCGGGCUAAGGACUCUGUGCAAGCCAAUCAAGUUCCUCCACAAAAAACAGGGUCAUCUAUGUUCUUAUGGACCUUGCUUUGCACACUGGUGUGCAGUCCUGUUGGAACUUGAAGGGAUCAUCCCAAACACAAAGAAAAAAUCUCUAUGGGUCUAGAGUCCAGUGUUGGCAGGCUUUAGAGCACUGAAUAUAAUUGCACUUGUUGGUUUUAGGCUUUGGAUUGACAUUCUCAGCCAUGGAAACCCAUUUCCUAAAGCUUACUACCCCCUAUUCUUGACCUAAACUGAAGCCACACAAAAUUUGGAGGUCUAUAGCUAUUCACUCCAUACACAGCUGUUAGCACAUUGUGCACUUUAGUCUGUAAUGUCCCUGCUUUGAACUUUAACUUGGUAUAUCAUUAAGUGGCUAAAUUGCUAUUGUUUUCCAAUGUUUCCACAGGUACUUAUUGUCCAUGUGCCAUCCUACCUACCUCGCUUUUAUUUGCUAGGUCCUUGAGAGUGACCCAUUCUUUCACAAAUGUUUGCAGUCUGCCCACCAAGAUGCUGGAUUUUAUACAUGGGGCCAUGGAAGGGAUUAGAACAUCUGUAUUCAAUAAUUUUGAGGGGUGACCGACUACUUCAGGCAAUAUAGUGUCAAGCUCGGUCAGAAUGGAUAGAGAACUUCCCCGAACAGCAAUUUAUUAGGCCUUGCCACAAGAUUUCCAUUUUGAUUUAGUUCCAUCCAUCUUCCCACCAAUACUGACCAGUUUCCUUUGACCUACUGAUGAAAGGCAUCCCCAAAGAAUUGUGCUAUCACUACCAUGAUUCACCAUAGCUGAUGUAUGGUUUUAGCUUUCUGCCAUAAACACCAAACUGCAACCAGGACUUCUGAUGGCUCACUCUGAACACACUCUUGCUUUCUUCUUGCCAUGAGCCGUUACUUUAAGCAUUUUAUCUUUUUCUCUGUUUUCUCCUUGCCUAGCCUGUGUUUGGGACACUGCAGCUGGUUGAACUGGGUUUUGUUUAGAGGUAUAGGGACCUGUAUACAGUGGGUAGUAUACAUUUAAUGUAUAUUUAAUGUAUACCACACAUGUCAGAUUUUAUUUGUGGAAAACAAAUUAAAACCAUGUGUCAUUUUCAUUCCAUUGUAUAAAAUAUGUUACUUUGAGUUGGUGUAACACAAAAUACUAAAUCCAUACAUUGGAUUUUGUCGUUUUAGAGUGUCACUAUGUGAAAAAGCUUAAUGGGUUUUUGUAAAGCAUGUAAAAAAUAGGGGGAUGUUUAUACAAGUGCCAUGAAUUUGUAAAACUUAGGUUUGUUUUUGUCACCUGUCAUCCCAAAAGUUUACUUUCAGUCCUGAUUUAAAAGCAGCCCUAUGUACAAAUAUUAUCAAUCUUCAGAUAAGAUGUCACUAAGACUGUCUUUUAUGCCACCAAGGUUUUCAGGGUUUGCAGUAAUCUUUUGGCCAAAGCCCUGCUUUGCUUUCUCCCAAAGGGGCCACACUGAAACAUCAUCUCCCAAUGCAUAUUCAGGUCAAGGCCAUGACGAGGAACCUUGUGCUCGUGAGCACGGGGUAGAAUCCUUCAUCUACUAAUUUGGUUGUUCAAAUUCGACUGAGAGGAAACACCAGCCUCAUGAUGUCAGAAACAACUGACCCCAAGGUGACAGGUUUGAAGGUUGUUCAUGCUCAUUGCUCUUAGGCUGGAGUUAAGAAUGUAAAUGUGUGCAUGUGGUUUUGAUUUGAAGCGCUGUGAUUGCAGGCACUCUGCUGUCACCCCUCCCCUCCAUAGAAAGUAUAUACUUAACAGGAAGUGGUAUGUUUUUGCUUAGAAGCAGAAUAUGUUAAUUACUAUAAUGGUGCCUGUUGACAUGAGUAACGGUGGGGCAAUGGUGACUCAAUCAAUUGCUGGGUUGCCGGUUCGAAACUCUACCCGUCUCAGUCGUUGCGUCCUUGGGCGGGGCACUUCCCCCGCCUUGCCUGCUGAUGGUGGUCAGAGGGCUCGGUGGCACCGAUUGUAUGGCAGCCAUUUAUGUCAGUCUGCCCCAGGGCAGCUGUGGCUGCCAGUGUGUGAAGGUGUGUAUGAAUGGGAGGAUGACUGUUUGUAUUGUAAAGACCUUUGGAGUCCUUGGACUCAAUAAAGCACAUGCAGGCAAUUUACCGUGAGUAAAACACAACCAUAUUGUUAGUGGACAUGUUUUUUUAAGGUAAAUAUUCCAAACUUUAAUCAUUUCACUUAAAAACGUUUGCAAUAAAUGUAAUAAUUCCUUGGUGUCUUCUCAUUAUUUCGUAUUUUGUAAGAAUGUGAAGACUGUUGUUCAGAAUAUAGAACUAAAGAGGCCAACUCUCAAUGAUUUGAUUAUUGUUUGAUAUUACCUUUUAGAUCCUAAUGUCUGUACUUGGCAAUUAAGGGGUUUUUCUCAGCUGUACAACACUUGCCAAAAUGAAUUAAUCCCAAUUACGGCUGGUGUAAAUAGAGUGAACUUCUGUAGUCUGCAGCCAAAUGUAUUACUGAGACCUCCAUUACACCAAUGGUAAGUACAUGUGCCAGCUAGCUCUUUGAAUUGGACUGUUUUCUCUGGGGGGUACUAUAAAAUAAAAUGCUAAAAUGCACUAAAUAAAGAGAAAAAAGAUGCACCAAUCACAAUUUUCCUGGCCCAUUUCUGGUUUACUUUGGUCUUUGACCCGAUAAUUCUGAUUUUAACUGAUUACAAUGCUUUUUUUUUUAAAGACUGUAACACGUCAAAUAAUAAGUGCAGUGGGUUAUUUGGUUGAGCUUUAAAUACAACAGAAAAUGAAGGAAUUACAUGAUCAUCCCUAUUUCCCUAAUCUUUAUCUGACUUUUAUUAAACUCUUAAAAGUGCAUCAACUUGCUUGCUGCUAAUUUAUAUAUUUAUAGAUAAAUAGUGUGAUUUCUUAGGUUUGAUGCAUUUAAUGAAUAUAAGAAAAAACAUUUUUGACUUUUCAGAAUUUGACCGGCUGUUGCCUGAUCAGAGCUGAUAAGAGGAAACUGGUCGAUUAUGAUCACUGACAGAAUUAUUGAUGCAUCUCGAGACAAAAACUGCUUUAUUUUUUCAUUGCAGAGAUCUAAAAAAAAACUAGACAGUGUGAGGACAUAUUUUUUAAAUGCCUACAUUAAAACUGAAUUUAGAAAAGUCCCUCAAUUACAAAAUAUCCAUGGUGGCCUAAACAAAUCCAAUGUUUAUUAUGUACCUCAUCUACAAGUACAUCCAAGUGAUAAAUGUUGUUCAAUGACAUAAUGUUUACCCUGUCAAAAAAAUAAAUGAUACAUAUUUAAGGA